ensembl:snoRNA small nucleolar RNA SNORA17
ACUGCCCCUAGAGGUAUUGCAGGUAUAGCUGCUGGGUCAUAUGUGUGACAGUAGGUGGCAGAGAGGGGAGAGGCUAUGUCUAUGUUCAGCUGUCUGACCUAUGAACACAUGAAUGAUUAGUAGCCUAACAUU